rnacentral:rRNA from 1 species
AUUGAACGCUGGCGGCAGGCCUAACACAUGCAAGUCGAGCGAGCGGCGGACGGGUGAGUAAUGUAUGGGGAUCUGCACGAUGGAGGGGGAUAACUACUGGAAACGGUAGCUAAUACCGCAUACCAUCAGAUGAACCCAUAUGGGAUUAGCUAGUGGGUGGGGUAACGGAUCACCUAGGCGACGAUCCCUAGCUGGUCUGAGAGGAUGAUCAGCCACACUGGGACUGAGACACGGCCCAGACUCCUACGGGAGGCAGCAGUGGGGAAUAUUGCACAAUGGGCGCAAGCCUGAUGCAGCCAUGCCGCGUGUAUGAAGAAGGCCUUCGGGUUGUAAAGUACUUUCAGCGGGGAGGCGUUACCCGCAGAAGAAGCACCGGCUAACUCCGUGCCAGCAGCCGCGGUAAUAC